AGAAGGGGAGGCGGGUUCAUGUAGUGCACGGGAACUUUGCACCUUAUUUAUAACAAUGUCGUUUUAAUCCAUCUGUUGCACUUGCACAAUACACAUAUAGCACAUGGACCCAUAUCACUCUCAGACAGGUUAAGCACUGCUUGUUCAGCCUGCCCUCUUUCUACGUAGGGCUGCUGACCACAGGUGGUGUAGUGAUUAUCAGCACUGGUGGGAUUCAUUCUCAGGCCUCCCAACUGUCCUGGUUUCGGAGGGACACUUCCCACUUUUGGGACACCAGGAAACUGUCCAUAACAAGCAUAGCACUCGUACAUCACUAGACAUGCUCGCACUAUGUUCAGGGCACUGGAACCUUACAGUACUCCCAGCCCUCAGUGUGCUCUGUGCAUUCACACCAGGCUGAUAUGCCAGUAAUUCAGGCGGG